rnacentral:rRNA from 1 species
GAUGAACGCUGGCGGCGUGCCUAAUACAUGCAAGUCGAGCGAACAGACGAGGAGCUUGCUCCUCUGACGUUAGCGGCGGACGGGUGAGUAACACGUGGAUAACCUACCUAUAAGACUGGGAUAACUUCGGGAAACCGGAGCUAAUACUGGAUAAUAUAUUGAACCGCAUGGUUCAAUAGUGAAAGACGGUUUUGCUGUCACUUAUAGAUGGAUCCGCGCCGCAUUAGCUAGUUGGUAAGGUAACGGCUUACCAAGGCGACGAUGCGUAGCCGACCUGAGAGGGUGAUCGGCCACACUGGAACUGAGACACGGUCCAGACUCCUACGGGAGGCAGCAGUAGGGAAUCUUCCGCAAUGGGCGAAAGCCUGACGGAGCAACGCCGCGUGAGUGAUGAAGGUCUUCGGAUCGUAAAACUCUGUUAUUAGGGAAGAACAAAUGUGUAAGUAACUAUGCACGUCUUGACGGUACCUAAUCAGAAAGCCACGGCUAACUACGUG